rnacentral:lncRNA from 1 species
ACGAAGUUUGCUGUCAUCUGCUGGAUUUGGUACUCAGAGAAGGCCUGUUGGAGAGAAAGCUCAUUGGGAAAAGCACUCUCAAUGUCCUCAUCCUCACUGGAAGAGUGCAGAUGGUGAGUGCUCACCAAAUCCACCGUGUUCCUCCUGUUUGUUUCUGUCAGUGUCUCUUCUACAAAGCUCUCCCAUCUCCCUCUGCAGUCCUCAGGUAGCUCUUUGAUGAACUCAGUGAUCUGGGUGUGCAUGGGGCCCUUCUCCAUGUUCUGCACCACGGCGUUGGCGAUGCGGGUGAGGUGGCCCAUGUUGCC